rnacentral:misc_RNA from 1 species
UUUCCUAAACUCCACAAUUGGGCGCCGUGAUGGGAAACCGCACGGCGGAUCCACUCAAAUUCGGGGAAAGCUUCCGGCGCCACGGCGCUCUGCCGAUCCCGAGCCAAGUCCGAGGUCCGGUCACGGCCCACGGGAAGGUGUAGAGACUAGACGGGUGGCACCUAAAGGCUUCGUUCGAAGCCCACGGUGAAGGGAUAGUCCAGACCACGAACGCGCGAACAGCGUGGCGGCGAAAGUCGAAGUGGUAUGAAACCUGGGGUCGCAGGUUCGAGCCCUGCCGGGGACGCCAAUGGUUUUCGCUGCCUCAGAUUGCAGGCGGACAGCCGAUACUUCCUGCGAUCUGAGUGCGACGUCGCGCCGCAGCUAUAACAAAUGACAUAACGUGUGUGUCGUUGCCAUUAGCUCCCGACGCGCCCUUGCAAGCGGAAAGUUUUCGUUCGAA